GAUGAACGCUAGCUACAGGCUUAACACAUGCAAGUCGAGGGGAAACGAUGAGAGAGCUUGCUCUCUCAGGCGUCGACCGGCGCACGGGUGAGUAACACGUAUCCAACCUGCCUUUUCCAGGGAAUAACCUUGCGAAAGUAAGACUAAUGCCCUAUGUGUCCUCCGACGGCAUCAGACGAGGACGAAAGAUUUAUCGGAAGAGGAUGGGGAUGCGCCUGAUUAGGCAGUUGGCGGGGCAACGGCCCACCAAACCGACGAUCAGUAGGGGUUCUGAGAGGAAGGUCCCCCACAUUGGAACUGAGACACGGUCCAAACUCCUACGGGAGGCAGCAGUGAGGAAUAUUGGUCAAUGGGCGAGAGCCUGAACCAGCCAAGUAGCGUGCAGGAAGACGGCCCUAUGGGUUGUAAACUGCUUUUAUGCGGGGAUAAAGCGGGCGACGUGUCGCCCCUUGCAGGUACCGCAUGAAUAAGGACCGGCUAAUUCCGUG
rnacentral:rRNA from 1 species